UAUCUGUAAAACCGUGAAAGUGGCUACGCUUGGGUAUAAAAACAAGUUGGAGCUGAGAAGGAUGUCGCAGUCCGGGUUCUGAAUUGGUCUGUAACCGAUUUGUAUCCUCAUCCGUCUUUCAGACUCUGAUAUCUAAAAUGCGUUCCAGUUUUAUAGUCGUCAUGGUCUGUGUUGUCGUCGUUCUUACUUUCUGGGGGCAGGUGGCAGAAGCCACUCGUAAGCUGCCGUUCAAUGGCAGCAUAUUUGGCAAACGUAGUAAUCAAGGCACAGACAAACUUGAAUCGCCCUCGAAUCUGCAGCUUCUUUGCGAUGCGGCUAUGAACGCGUGCAGCGAUUGGCUCCCAAUUGGUUCGAAAUAGCGAUGGAACUGCUCUGUCCGACACAGCUUGAAUUUGUCAAAGAAAUGACACACAAGAUUAAUAUUUACUAUUUCAACUUCUUCAGAUUUUCCUUUAAAUGGAUUUACAUUAAUAAAAACGAAAUAAAACCAUUACAACACAGCAGCAUCUGCGUAUUUUAAAUUUGAACGAUCCUCUUAGUCAUGCGAACGUAGUUGAAAUAGGCGAAUAUCCCCCGAUGGACAAUUCAUAUCCGAUAGUCAAAUAUAAUCAAUUGUUCGAACAUUUAAAAAAAAAAGUAUUAUUAAGAAAAACACUGAAGGCGAUCCGUCAGCGUACUAGUCAAAAUUAAUCUUUUGAUUAAUUUGCCAUAUAAUAAUGUAUUUAGUUUAAAAGUGUAUGCAUGUAUUAAGUGUGUAAAAACAAAGGUAAUUAACUGAAAUUAGGUGCUUAUGAUUGCAGAAUAACAUUUGUUUUACAACUAAUGUGGCAGUAUGAUGCAGGGAAGAGUCAGCAAACGAAAAAUUCGGUUCAGAAUGCAUUCAGUUACUAACGCAACAAUUCACUUGGUUUACUAACAAAAA